rnacentral:rRNA from 1 species
CCUACGGGCGGCAGCAGUAGGGAAUAUUGCUCAAUGGGGGAAACCCUGAAGCAGCAACGCCGCGUGGCGGAUGAAGGUUUUCGGAUUGUAAACUCCUUUUGUUAGAGACGAUAAUGACGGUAUCUAACGAAUAAGCACCGGCUAACUCCGUGCCAGCAGCCGCGGUAAUACGGAGGGUGCAAGCGUUACUCGGAAUCACUGGGCGUAAAGGGCGCGUAGGCGGGAUAGCAAGUCAGAUGUGAAAUCCUAUGGCUUAACCAUAGAACUGCAUUUGAAACUGUUAUUCUAGAGUAUGGGAGAGGUAGGUGGAAUUCUUGGUGUAGGGGUAAAAUCCGUAGAGAUCAAGAGGAAUACUCAUUGCGAAGGCGACCUGCUAGAACAUAACUGACGCUGAUGCGCGAAAGCGUGGGGAGCAAACAGGAUUAGAUACCCUAGUAGUC